ensembl:lncRNA
AACAGAUCAGUAAACUCUAAGCACUGGCGUGACACAGUGUUUCACCUCAAGGUCAUUUAAUCUAGCGUGGAUCAGUACUGAUGAAGAUGUCUGACUUCUGAGCACUGCCUGAGCUAAACAGCUGCUACUUACAGAGCAAGAGAGUCAUCGCUGAUAUUCUGGGCACUUCUUCAGGAUCCUUAAUGGGCAGUAUAUGUUUUCCUUGAUGGGAAAUUCAACUCCUCACUUCCUUAUCAUAUGAAAAGGCUGGAACAUAAAAUAUUUCUAUCCAUAUUUUCCUUCUCACUCUUGAAUACAGUCAUGGCACUUAAAACUCAGGCAGCAAGCAAGGCACCGUCACUACUGCUUUCUGCUUGUUUGCAACGUGCCUUUUGUAUUUCUUCUCCAGGACAGAACUUGUUGCUUCCUUGUGUUUUUGAAGUGCUGACCAUGGAAAAGUUCUUGGUGGCCUUCUCAGCCUCUCCAAAAGAAGCAUGGGUGACACAGAGGGAUCCUAGGCAAACAAAACGAGCACUUUGCCUCUCCUUCCCAAGCAGAAUUCAUGGGCAUUCCUCACAGUCUCCAUCUAUGCCACGGAAAACCUGACUUGACAUUUCAAUGAUGAAAAGGUGACAAAGGAAAAACAGGUGGCAAUUUUCUUCCCUCUGAGAAAACGGCUGUCUUCAAAGCCUGUGUAAAUCCAUUGCAAACCGCUUCAGAGACCACAUACAGCACCUCGUUUCACACACCACCACCACAAAGCAGUGGAGCCUGUCCCCCUUUAUCUUGUCAAGUUCCAGAUUGCCUGGAAAACGGACUAAAUUGCUCAAAAACUUGAGUUCACUUCAGAAUUUUCCCCUGCGACAAACAAGAUUUUUUCCUUCCCUUAAACAACCAGCAAGUCUCACUCAAAUAAGGAAGCAGAAGAGAAACAGAUCAAAGUAAGCAACUGGUUUCUAAUCCCUCUACACUUGUUAAGAACAGGCCCACAGUGGAGUAUUUGCUCAUACCCUGGGAGCCUGGGGACUGUAUUCUGCCACCCAGGCAACUUAUUCACAUCAUCAGUAAAGCCCAAUGGACAGUAUGUGCAAACUGAUUUGAAUGAAAAAUCCUGCAUCUCGCCAGCUGUCUUUCUUUUGUUUACUUAACAAAAUGCGAACACAGCGUCUGUUUGAAGGCUUCUAUACAGAAAGUAGUGAAGUUUAGAGUGAAAACGUGAGCAGAGUGGUUAGACAUUGCUUUAUCCUCUAGUGUCUGUGCUGAAGGUCACCAUAAGACUAUGAAAGGAUGCAGUUCCCUUACCUGAAGCCUGUGUUGAAACGUGGCAUAACUUCGAGUGAAACGGAAGAUUGAAUUCAAAACACCAUCUUUGUAUAAGGGUGUAAUUGUAAUGAUCUGUUUGAGUUCUACCAUUAGAGAUGAACAAAAGAGCAAGCAAAGAUGUGAAAACAACUAGUCUGCCUGCUGAAACCGAAUGAGGUGUCUUUGUGGAUAACUUUGCUCUUUAUAAGGACAAAUCUAAAGAUGCUGCUCUCGAAAGAGAAAAUGAGUUCUCUAUACAUAUUUUUCCCACUUCAUGUACCUGAUGAAGGCUAUCUGGAGUUUC